CAAAAACAUAGCUUUUUGGUGAAAGUAAAAAGUAGGGUCUGCCCAGUGAGUAAUUUUAACGGCCGCAAUAUUUGUGCGAAGGUAGCAUAAUCAUUUGUCUUUUAAUUGAUGACUGGAAUGAAUGGCUGGACGGGGAUAAGCUGUCUUAUGUAUAUAUAUUUGAAAUUUACUUUUAAGUAAAAAGGCUUAAAUAUUUUAGAGGGACGAGAAGACCCUAUUGAGUUUAAUAGAAUUUAUUUAAAUUUUUCUUAAAUUUUUAUGUAAUCUAUUUAGUUGGGGAGAUUUGAUAUUAUUAACUAUAUAAGAAUUAAUAGACUUUAAGUUUUUAGGAUCCAUAUUUUAUGAGUGUUAAGGUAAAUUACCUUAGGGAUAACAGCGUAAUAUUUUUUUAGAGUUCAAAUCGAUUAAAAUGAUUACGACCUCGAUGUUGGAUUAAGGAACCUAAUUUGGAGAAAAUUUUAAU
rnacentral:rRNA from 1 species